rnacentral:rRNA from 1 species
AACGAACGCUGGCGGCAUGCCUAACACAUGCAAGUCGAACGAGACCUUCGGGUCUAGUGGCGCACGGGUGCGUAACGCGUGGGAAUCUACCCUCAGGUUCGGAAUAACUCAGAGAAAUUUGAGCUAAUACCGGAUGAUGACGUAAGUCCAAAGAUUUAUCGCCUGAGGAUGAGCCCGCGUAGGAUUAGGUAGUUGGUGAGGUAAAGGCUCACCAAGCCGACGAUCCUUAGCCGGUCUGAGAGGAUGAUCAGCCACACUGGGACUGAGACACGGCCCAGACUCCUACGGGAGGCAGCAGUGGGGAAUAUUGGACAAUGGGCGAAAGCCUGAUCCAGCAAUGCCGCGUGAGUGAUGAAGGCCUUAGGGUUGUAAAGCUCUUUUACCCGGGAUGAUAAUGACAGUACCGGGAGAAUAAGCUCCGGCUAACUCCGUG